rnacentral:misc_RNA from 1 species
UACGGAGGGGGCAAGCGUUAUUCGGAUUUACUGGGCGUAAAGCGCACGUAGGUGGCAUGGUAAGUCAAAGGUGAAAGCCCUCGGCUCAACCGAGGAAUUGCCUUUGAAACUGCUUUGCUUGAGUCCGGGAGGGGGGAGCGGAAUUCCCAGUGUAGCGGUGAAAUGCGUAGAUACUGGGAGGAACACCGGUGGCGAAGGCGGCUCCCUGGACCGGUACUGACACUGAGGUGCGAAAGCGUGGGUAGCAAACAGG